rnacentral:rRNA from 1 species
GACAGAGGUCCCAAGCGUUAGGCGGAAUCACUGGGCUUAAAGCGUGUGUAGGCGGAUUUGUAAGUACCUUGUGAAAUCCCACGGCUCAACCGUGGAACUGCUUGGUAUACUGCUUAUCUUGGGUCAUCUAGGGGCGAGCGGAACAAACGGUGGAGCGGUGAAAUGCGUAGAUAUCGUUUGGAACGCCAAUGGUGAAAACAGGUUGCUGGGAGUGUGCUGACGCUGAGACACGAAAGCCAGGGGAGCAAACGGG